UUCUCAGAGGGCGGAGCCAAAGAGCAGUGAUUGGUCAGACCAUAGAAAUAUAUGGAAGACAGCGCGCUAGCGUAUCUAGUCUUCUAUAUAUCUGUGGUCAGCACGUCUGGUAGCAUCUCUGGCUGCUGUUGACCUUGUUUUUGGAGUAAAACACGGUGGAAGCUGAAUUAGUGAGGAUGACUCCUGCUCCUGUCAUCUCUAAGCUCCUCACACAUCUUUACCUGCACAUGAGGAAAAUCACUCCUGUAGAAUGCAGAUGUUCAGAGGGAGAUGAUGCCACAUCUGGUCCAGCUGAUGGAAGGUCUUGAAGUUCUCUGACUGGCCUCGACUGAAGAUGGUCGUCUCACUGGAUUUAAGGUUCAGAUGCUCAGUAACAAACUCCACCAAUGUGCCAACAGGGAAGCUUUAGGUUUAUUAAAUGUUGCUAUGAAGGUAUCGCUGUUUUUCUUUGUGAAUGCAAUGUGCUCCAACUGAAACUUGAAUUAGAACUUAGAAGUAAAUCCUUCCAUCUGAAAGGAUUUAGUUGCAUUAAUAACCUCAUAACAUUCUAAUUUUUAUUCCAGUCUUGGUUGGAAAUAGAAUCUCUGUAUUGAUUCAGGUAAAAACUGAACUUCACAGCAUGUUGGAGCAAAACAACCAGAUGAAAACUGUGAUGGUGUUGGAUUGUCAGACUGUAAUGUUGCAGCUCAAAGCAGCUUUUCUAGCUCAGUUCAUUCUGACAUUCAGCUAUGAAUCAACACAGCAGAUGGUGAUCCAUGCUGUGGAAGUCUCACAUCUCCUGAUUUAAUGGAGCUGCUUUGCACUUUUUACACUGUUUAUUCACCAACACUUUAUUUAAUAAAAGUCCCAUCUAGUUUUUAUGAGGAAUGUGAUGUUUUAAUUUCUCUGUGAAUAACUGCAGUCUAAUGCAACAGCUGGAGUUGUAACAUCUGUCCUGAUAUUGAUCAUGAAGUAUUGAUCAGAAUACUUAUGGUUAGCAGUCAUCUCUGAAGUUUUACAUUAAAAUCUUUACCUGUGUUGUGAACUUUGGUAAGAAGCAGAAACUUUAGCGUUGCCAUGGAUACAUGAGUGUUAAAUUCUGUCCAUGUUUCCAUUUUGGGAAAUGCAGUCCAGCAGAUGAGUUUGUUUUUACUGCCAGCUACCAUUCAGUCUGAGAUAUUAAGAAUAAAUAAAUGUGCAUAAUGUGGAAAUGAACAGAUUUUAUUUUUAUUUAUUCCUACAAGUGCUGCAGGUAAAGUUCCAGAAUGUGGAGAAAUUUAGUCUCACAAUCACAGACAAUAAAUAUUAUCUGAAAGUCAGGUUAUUGUUGUUUAUCAGCACAAUACAAAAAGAUUAAUGUUAGAAAUAUUCCAGUUAAGACUCUAGAAUAUCAUGAUUUAUGUAAAUUUACCUCAAUAAUAUGAAUGUUCAGGUUAAGAUUGUACAGUGAUAUUUAUUAUGUAAGUUUAGCUGAUUAAAGUUUAUGACUCUGCACUACAAUAUUAUUUAUUAUUUAAAUUUGCAUCAUUAUUAUAAUAUUUAGGGUCAGACCCUACAGGAUUGAGAUUAAGAAAUCAAAUAUUCUAUAAAAUGUAAAUACACUGAACUCAUUUGGAUAUAUUUAAGUGAGACUCUACAAUAUUAUUUGACACAAAUCUAUCUAAAUCAAAAUUUUAAUCAUUUUUACUCCAAACAUUUACUGGACUGAUUUAAAUAUUAAAAUCACUCCUUUCUAAUCCUCUGCUGUACGUUCAAACCUGAGGCCUUAAAUAGAAACACACAAGUAUCUGAUUGAAGGAACUUCUGCAGAGUCCUGGUUCCAGAACAUGAUGAUAGAAUUAUAGACAAACUUUAACAAAAGCUGCCUGAGAGUUUACAGGUUUUUAUGUUGGAUUUCUUCAGUAAUUUAAUGAGAGUUAUCAGCAAAAAUCAAGUGUUCAUUUGAUGAACUUCAUUUCCUAAAACAUCCAGAAUUGGAGCUCAUAUCUUUGGCAGCUGUAAAGUUUCUGCUCCUUCAAAGUUCACAACACAAUGAAUGAAUUCCUAAAACACUCUCAAUGCUGGAGAGCGUUUGUGAUGCUGAAGCAGUGAUCAGUUUUUCUGUUUCUUCUCUGGAGAUGCACAAUGAGGGACGUCUGCAGAGACUGAGAAAGAGUCUCACCACAUCCUGACAUGAGGAAAAAGACUUUAUUGAAGACUACAAUGAGAAAAACUAUCAGACAGCAGACGGCUGCAUUCAAGUCUGUAGCUGCUGAAUUCAUGGAUGAAUCAUCUGGCACUAGAGAGGAAGACCAUCAAACAUCCACAGUCAGCUGAUGGAGGUCCAAGAGUCUCACCCAACAAACAACCUACAGAGUGAAGACCUCGAAUCUGAUUGGACGGCCUCCUAUUCAGCCACAUUUUAGGCUGUUAGAUUGUUCCAGAUAAGACAAGUACAAGAUUCUUCAGAGCCGUUCUACCACGAGCCUGACAGGAAGAACUCCAACAGCUACUGAAUGUUCCUGUGGUUCCCUCAAGGCUACAGGAGGAGUCCUACGAGGACGAGCCGGUCCACCUGAUGGUGGCCAGUCGCUGCGGUUCAAAGCCAACACCGACUACGUGGACUUCUACUGGACCACACGGAGGCCUUCAAACCGGACCAACAAGUUCAGCGACUCCCCGACUCGUGGGUCUGAGGACGCCGCCGAGCCUCGGUCCAGCCGGCCUCCUGUCUGUGGGUGUUUGAGUGCUGAGAGGUUUGUGGAUGCAUGUGAACGUUCUGUGUUGAAACAGCAGCUUUGGACUCAGUAACGCCAGGAAAAACCAAGAGCUCCUUUAUUUGUGACUUCCACUAAAAAAAACUGAUGAAAAUAAGUUUGCCAGGGUUCUGACUGAUAACAGAUUAUUAAAUAAUGAAAAUAACAGUUUAAAUAUUCCUUUAAACAAUCCUUUUAGGUCUACAUUUCCUUUACACUGACUUCUUGGUAUAUGUACAAGUAUUUUGGGUGGAAUAUACCAUUAAGCCCAAUGUUCAAGGGUUCUUCUGGGAAUAUACCAUUAAACCAACCUUUUAGGUAAAUGUUCCAGGAUGUUGGGUAGAAUAUACCAUCAGAUCAACCUUUUAGGUCUACAUUGGAAGAUUUUAGAGUAGAAUAUUACUCCAAACCAUCCUUUAGGUCUACAUUUAAGGUGGAAUACUCCUUUACACCAAGAUUUUUUGGUCUACAUUGAAGGAUUUUAGGUGGAAUAUUCCUUUGAACGAACUUUUUAAGUUUAUGUUCAAGGAUGUUGGGUGGAAUAUACCAUCAGACCAACCUCCAAGGUCUACAGUAGUGAAUUUUAGGUGGAAUAUACCAUUAAACUCACCUUUUAGGUCUACAUUGGAGGAUUUUAGGUGGAAUUUUCUUCCAAACCGUCUUUUAGUCUACAUUUAAGGAUGUUUAGGAUGGUAUAUUCUUCCAAACCAACUUCUCAGAUCUACAUUUCAGGUGGAAUAUUCCUCCAUACUAACUUUUUUGGUCUACAUUGAAGGAUUUUUUCUAAACCACCCUUUCGGGUCUAUAUUUGAGGUUUUAGGUGGAAUAUUCCUUUUAACCAGCCCCUCAGGUCUCUUUGAGGAUUUUGGAUGGAAUACUCGGUUAAACCAACAUUUUAGGUGCAUGUCCAAGGAUUUUUGGUGGAAUGUUCCUUUAAGGUGGAUGUGUGAGGACCUUGUAGGUGGAAUACUUCCUGAAACCAACCUUUUAGGUCAACAUUCAAAGAUUUAAGGUGGAAUAUUCCUUUAAACCAACCUAAAUUUCAUGUUUUGAUCAUUAUCAAGUGAGAAACCUCAAUCCAGACUCCUCAUAAUGACGUUUGAGAUUUAUGCUGCUGUUAUUUGUUUAGUCCAGACUAAAUGACAGAAAUCCACAACUGUAAUUUUAUUUCAGGACUCGGUUAUUAAAUGUCAAAACAAUCCAUGUGACUCUAAAAACUCAACAGCUUUACAAACUCUAAGAUUAAACUCUCCACAAGGAUCCAAAAUAAGUUGGACUUCUACAUGAGAGCUUUAAUUAUUCUUCAUCUACUUCCUGAAAAGUUUGGUCAAUAAAAAAGACAAAAACUAAUAUUUUCAGCUGAACUAAAGACAGACUUUGUGAUUUUUCUGCUCACAUGUUGUGUUGUUGUAAACUUACUCUUUCAAAUAAAUAGCCUCCUAACCCCCUGGAAACCAGCGUUUGUCCUGUUUUUGUGUUGCUCCUCGGCGACCCUAGACAGCCGGGUCCUAAUGUUUUUUGAGCAACACACCAUACUAUGACGUUUUUACAAUGAUGGUUCUACUAUGGAACCAGUUUGACAUGUUCAGGUGUUCUUUGUGUGAAAACUCAGAGAUUUCAGGUAUCAGAAGGUGGUUUUCAACUUUCUUUGUUAACUUUCUGCUUCAACUUUAAACUAAAUUUCCUUGACUAAGCCAGCCCUCUGGACUUCCAGUAAGCUGUGUUCCUAUUGGCUGUCCAGGUGGCUGCUUGGUGUUAUCAGGAACACCUGAGCAGCUCAGUGUCUUCCUGCUUUAUUUG